GGCUAACUACGUGCCAGCAGCCGCGGUAAUACGUAGGUGGCGAGCGUUAUCCGGAAUGAUUGGGCGUAAAGGGUGCGUAGGUGGCAGAUCAAGUCUGGAGUAAAAGGUAUGGGCUCAACCCGUACUGGCUCUGGAAACUGAUCAGCUAGAGAACAGAAGAGGACGGCGGAACUCCAUGUGUAGCGGUAAAAUGCGUAGAUAUAUGGAAGAACACCGGUGGCGAAGGCGGCCGUCUGGUCUGGAUUCUGACACUGAAGCACGAAAGCGUGGGGAGCAAAUAGGAUUAGAUACCCUAGUAGUCCACGCCGUAAACGAUGAGAACUAGGUGUUGGGGGAAUAACUCAGUGCCGCAGUUAACGCAGUAAGUUCUCCGCCUGGGGAGUAUGCACGCAAGUGUGAAACUCAAAGGAAUUGACGGGGGCCCGCACAAGCGGUGGAGUAUGUGGUUUAAUUCGAAGCAACGCGAAGAACCUUACCAGGCCUUGACAUCCCUUGCAGAGGUAUAGAGAUAUAUCCGAGGUUAUCAAGGAGACAGGUGGUGCAUGGUUGUCGUCAGCUCGUGUCGUGAGAUGUUGGGUUAAGUCCCGCAACGAGCGCAACCCUUGUGAUAUGUUACUAACAUUGAGUUGAGGACUCAUAUCAGACUGCCGGUGAUAAACCGGAGGAAGGUGGGGAUGACGUCAAAUCAUCAUGCCCCUUAUGGCCUGGGCUACACACGUACUACAAUGGCGUCUACAAAGAGCGGCAAGCCUGUGAAGGCAAGCGAAUCUCAUAAAGGACGUCUCAGUUCGGAUUGAAGUCUGCAACCCGACUUCAUGAAGCUGGAAUCGCUAGUAAUCGCGAAUCAGCAUGUCGCGGUGAAUACGUUCUCGGGCCUUGUACACACCGCCCGUCAAACCAUGGGAGUUGGUAAUGCCCGAAGCCGGUGGCAUAACCCUUCGGGGAGUGAGCCGUCGAAGGCAGGACCGAUGACUGGGGUUAAGUCGUAACAAGGUAUCCCUACGGGAACGUGGGGAUG
rnacentral:rRNA from 1 species